CUAGGCUUCUGCAUGACUUUGUGUUUCUCUGCCACUUAGGUUGAGUGCAAGGGCAAUGAAGAAGGGUAUGAGAAGUUAUGGAUGCCCCACGCAUGAAAUUAAGUGUUCAAGGCCAGACUGAAUGGGGCUCCGAGCAACUUGAUCUAGUGGAAAUUAUCCCUGCCCGCGUUAGGCUGGAUUGGAACAGGCAGAGAGAAAGAGAUGGAAGAUUUCGGGCCUUCAGGUGUUUCUCUGCGGAUUCCUGGGAAGACCUGCAGCUGCCACAUACUGCAGGCACUGCCUCUGUGCCACGUAGCAUCUUGAGAAGUAAGCUUGGGCUCAACUAGAAGUGGCUUGCAAGUAC
ensembl:lncRNA